rnacentral:rRNA from 4 species
GCACGCUGACACGUAGGUGAAGUGAUUUACUCACGGAGCUGAAGUCAGCCGAAGAUACCAGCUGGCUGCAACUGUUUAUUAAAAACACAGCACUGUGCAAACACGAAAGUGGACGUAUACGGUGUGACGCCUGCCCGGUGCCGGAAGGUUAAUUGAUGGGGUCAGCGCAAGCGAAGCUCCUGAUCGAAGCCCCGGUAAACGGCGGCCGUAACUAUAACGGUCCUAAGGUAGCGAAAUUCCUUGUCGGGUAAGUUCCGACCUGCACGAAUGGCGUAAUGAUGGCCAGGCUGUCUCCACCCGAGACUCAGUGAAAUUGAACUCGCUGUGAAGAUGCAGUGUACCCGCGGCAAGACGGAAAGACCCCGUGAACCUUUACUAUAGCUUGACACUGAACAUUGAGCCUUGAUGUGUAGGAUAGGUGGGAGGCUUUGAAGUGUGGACGCCAGUCUGCAUGGAGCCGACCUUGAAAUACCACCCUUUAAUGUUUGAUGUUCUAACGUGGACCCGUGAUCCGGGUUGCGGACAGUGUCUGGUGGGUAGUUUGACUGGGGCGGUCUCCUCCUAAAGAGUAACGGAGGAGCACGAAGGUUGGCUAAUCCUGGUCGGACAUCAGGAGGUUAGUGCAAUGGCAUAAGCCAGCUUGACUGCGAGCGUGACGGCGCGAGCAGGUGCGAAAGCAGGUCAUAGUGAUCCGGUGGUUCUGAAUGGAAGGGCCAUCGCUCAACGGAUAAAAGGUACUCCGGGGAUAACAGGCUGAUACCGCCCAAGAGUUCAUAUCGACGGCGGUGUUUGGCACCUCGAUGUCGGCUCAUCACAUCCUGGGGCUGAAGUAGGUCCCAAGGGUAUGGCUGUUCGCCAUUUAAAGUGGUACGCGAGCUGGGUUUAGAACGUCGUGAGACAGUUCGGUCCCUAUCUGCCGUGGGCGCUGGAGAACUGAGGGGGGCUGCUCCUAGUACGAGAGGACCGGAGUGGACGCAUCACUGGUGUUCGGGUUGUCAUGCCAAUGGCACUGCCCGGUAGCUAAAUGCGGAAGAGAUAAGUGCUGAAAGCAUCUAAGCACGAAACUUGCCCCGAGAUGAGUUCUCCCUGAGACUUUAGGUCUCCUGAAGGAACGUUGAAGACGACGACGUUGAUAGGCCGGGUGUGUAAGCGCAGCGAUGCGUUGAGCUAACCGGUACUAAUGAACCGUGAGGCUUAACCUUACAACGCCGAAG